GGCGUUUGGCGGGUCUUUGUCUCUUGCUGGCGCUGGCACAGGAACUUGGGAUCCGUCUCCUCUUUCGCCUCCUCCGCUUUGGGAGCCCCGGGCUACUCUUUCACAGCCCCUGUUGCCCUGUGAUCUGUAGGUCCUUGGGGACGCACAGUUAAGAUGACAGGACAUCCUGGAAGCUGGGAAAUGGUAACUUCUUAGACCAAGUCUAGAAACAGUCUGAGGACAAUAACAAUUCCAUUCUAAAAAGAAUCUCCCAACAUUUCUUCUAUCUCAACCUCAACUGCAUCUGCCUGUGAACUUCCAGCUUACCAAGGCUCUAUAUCUUCUGGCAGUGACAAAGGCUCCUUCCAUGGUUGGUAUAUGUAUUCAUUUCCUACCACCGUAGUGGAAGAGAGAUUUUCCCUAUCUUUACAACUGAUAGCAUUUCCAACAGUAAGCUGUGAGAUUCUGCUUGAAAUCACCUCUCAAACAAAUAAAAAACAGACCUGGGAGACAUGCUACACUCAUUCUGCUGAGGAAAUAGGGCAAGAAUAUUUUCUAAGACCCCGAACUCCAGAUAUGCGAUGGGGCAAAUCCUGAAGCGUACAUGGCUAUCUCUCACAGCUAAAGCACCCCUCACCCCUAUCCAGCGCUUCUUACCCCUGGCGCAAGAGAGUCACCUGCGGGGAGGAAAACUAUCAAAAUCCCUUAAACCCAAGUUGUAACCGCACAACUAAAUCAGAAUCCUUGGAGCUGGAUCUGAAAAAAAUACGGUUGAAAG
rnacentral:lncRNA from 1 species